AACGAACGCUGGCGGCAUGCCUAACACAUGCAAGUCGAACGAAGUCUUCGGACUUAGUGGCGCACGGGUGCGUAACGCGUGGGAAUCUGCCCUUGGGUGCGGAAUAACUUCUCGAAAGGGAUGCUAAUACCGCAUAAUGUCGUAAGACCAAAGAUUUAUCGCCCAAGGAUGAGCCCGCGUAAGAUUAGCUAGUUGGUGGGGUAAAAGCCUACCAAGGCGACGAUCUUUAGCUGGUCUGAGAGGAUGAUCAGCCACACUGGGACUGAGACACGGCCCAGACUCCUACGGGAGGCAGCAGUGGGGAAUAUUGGACAAUGGGCGAAAGCCUGAUCCAGCAAUGCCGCGUGAGUGAUGAAGGCCCUAGGUGUAAAGCUCUUUUACCAGGGAUGAUAAUGACAGUACCUGGAGAAUAAGCUCCGGCUAACUCCGUGCCAGCAGCCGCGGUAAU
rnacentral:rRNA from 1 species